rnacentral:rRNA from 1 species
UACGGGGGGGGCAAGCGUUGUUCGGAAUUACUGGGCGUAAAGGGCUCGUAGGCGGCCAACUAAGUCGGACGUGAAAUCCCUCGGCUUAACCGGGGAACUGCGUCCGAUACUGGAUGGCUUGAGUUUGGGAGAGGGAUGCGGAAUUCCAGGUGUAGCGGUGAAAUGCGUAGAUAUCAGGAGGAACACCGGUGGCGAAGGCGGCUUCCUGGACCGACACUGACGCUGAGGCGCGAAAGCUAGGGGAGCAAACGGG